GCCUCCCCUUCCCCUUUGCCGACACCCCUGUAGCGCCCCCCCUCCUCACGACCCCUCCCCCCAGCACACUUUCUCCUCUCUCCAUUGCUCCCUCCUCCCUCAGAUUCGCUCCAUUGUAGCCUCAAUCAAGAAAGCGGAGCAUCAAAACGGAUUGAGGAGGAAGAGAGGAUCGAGGGGAUAGGCGAGAUUAAUGUUUUCCCCAACCUUCCCUUACGGAUUCUCAUGGAGAACCCCAUGGAACUCGAGAUAUGGCUGAAUCAAUGUGACUGUUCGUGUGGCCUGGCAGAUCUGGUCAGGUGGUGUUGCUAUGAGGAGUCUAUGCAUAGAUACAUUUUCGAUAAAGGCAAGU